rnacentral:rRNA from 1 species
AACGAACGCUGGCGGCAUGCCUAACACAUGCAAGUCGAACGAGACCUUCGGGUCUAGUGGCGCACGGGUGCGUAACGCGUGGGAACCUGCCCUUAGGUUCGGAAUAACUCCCCGAAAGGGGUGCUAAUACCGGAUAAUGUCUUCGGACCAAAGAUUUAUCGCCUUUGGAUGGGCCCGCGUUGGAUUAGCUAGUUGGUAGGGUAAAAGCCUACCAAGGCGACGAUCCAUAGCUGGUCUGAGAGGAUGAUCAGCCACACUGGGACUGAGACACGGCCCAGACUCCUACGGGAGGCAGCAGUGGGGAAUAUUGGACAAUGGGCGAAAGCCUGAUCCAGCAAGGCCGCGUGAGUGAUGAAGGCCUUAGGGUUGUAAAGCUCUUUUACCCGGGAUAAUAAUGACAGUACCGGGAGAAUAAGCUCCGGCUAACUCCGU